GGCAAAGUAACUACUAGACAAGUAAAGGAGACUUAUCUACUCCCCCGCUUGAUGCUACUACUGAUGAAACUUUACCACUCCACUACUACUAGUUUGGGCUGUAAACCAUAGAACUUGAACUGGCAAUUAUCCCGUAAUAUAAGUAGGGCGACUGGAACUGGCCAUUCACUUAGAGCUUCAAAGCAUGGAAUUUCUUUCUCUUCUGCCCCAACUAGAGCAUCAAUUGGUUAUUAGAGUUCGGGUGCGAUAAAGCCUUUCCGGGCAGUAAGAAUAGGGUGCAAAUGAAUUCUUUCAAAUAUGGAUCUUUUUUGAUAAGUAUUUCCCAUCAACACUAAAGAAGUGAUUCAAUAGUUCAUUUGAAACGCAUAUAGUGAGGGUUGUUCCGGGCAGACUAUCUUACCUGGGCGUGUUUCAUUCAGUAUUAGUAGUUGUCCAGUCGAAUCUGUAUUUGUUUACAGAGCAGAGGUAUAGUAUAGGAGGUGUAGUAUAGUAGUCCUGUUUCAUAAGAGGUAGCAUAGAAAUGAUAAGAGAGGAGCCAGAGGCAGAUGAGCCAUAGGGUAUAUGUUGGUCACAACUGCAAUUAACAUAUUUUUCCUUACUUGUUAUGAGUUUUUGACUACUGGGCACAGGAAUAGAGGACACAUAAUCAAUCCUUACCUUACAGGCACUAGCUAAUCAAUCUAUACCUUAUAGCACUUUCUUGCGUUAGUCAGGAUACCGCACAGCAGCUGCUUCUUCCCUUCGCCCAGCUUUCACUUCAUCUUUAUCUCGCCUCUUUCUCUUGUCUUGCUUAGUCGACUUUGAAGUUCAUCAUUUGCAUAUCUCUUUAAUCGAGCACCAAUGAUAGAAGUGAGUAAAGCCACACACGGAUUGAAUUGACUUACUGCAACACAAGCUUUGCUUCGUUUAAGAACGAAUUGAGGCCACGCACAACUGUUUUGUGAAGAGAGAUUCUUUCUACGAUAUUUGCAACAGCUCCAGCUUAUUAGUUUCGGGGCUACCCAUCUUGUUUUUCUUUAUGAGUAACCAACCACUACGGUUGGGCUGUCAACCAUGAUUUCUACUCGGGAUGCCACUAGAACAGGCAAUGAUACUGCAGCAUCGCCUGCUUAUUCGAAUCUAUCAUAUAUCUUGAAAGAUUGUUGGAACUGUCAAUUCUUCAUAUCCAGCUUCCAAGCUUGCUGCUUCCCUGGCUUUUGCUUUUGCCGAACAAGACAACACUCUAAGGCAGGGAACUUCCCAGUGUUCUAGAGUUAUGAGCGCCCUUCCCAGUGUUCUAGAGUUAUGAGCAAGUAUGUAUGUGGUUAGGCCAAGCUACUACUACAAACGCAAGACUUGUUAAUACCUGAGUUCUAAUGAGUUAUGAGCAAGUAAGGUAUUCAUGGCGUCAGUCCGAUCUACUCUUGAAGCAGAGGGAAAGUUGUCAGCAUCAGAUGGAGCACUAACGACAAUUGCAUCAGAUGGAGCUGAGCUGGUGAGGAAGGUGGAGAGGAAGCUGUUCGAGUCAAGUCCACCAAGUAACUACUA
rnacentral:lncRNA from 1 species